AAUUCAGUAGCCAUGGAUGUAUUCAUGAAAGGACUUUCAAAGGCUAAAGAGAGUGUUGUGGCUGCUGCUGAAAAGACCAAACAAGGUGUGGCAGAAGCUGCUGGAAAGACAAAAGAGGGUGUCUCUAUGUAGGUUCCAAAACCAAGGAAGGAGUGGUUCAUGGUGUGGCUACAGUGGCCAAGAAGACCAAAGAACAGGUAACAAAUGUUGAAGAAGCGGUGGUAACAUGUGUGACCGCAGUAGCACACAAAAACAGUGGAAGGAGCAGGAAACAUGGCAGCUACCACUGACUUUGGCAAAAAGGAUCAGAUAGGCAAGAGUGAAGGAGGAGUUUCACAGGAAAGAGUUCUUGAAGAUAUGUCUUUGGAAGCUUAUGAAAAGCCUUCAGAGGAAGGAUAUCAAGACCAUGAACCUGAAGCCUAA